rnacentral:rRNA from 1 species
CCCCUAGAUGUUCUGGGCCGCACGCGCGCUACACUGAACAGUUCAACAAGUCUUAACCUUGGCCGAUAGGUCUGGGUAAUCUUUGAACGCUGUUCGUGAUUGGGAUAGACCUUUGCAAUUAUGGGUCUUCAACGAGGAAUUCCUAGUAAACGCAAGUCAUCAGCUUGCAUUGAUUACGCCCCUGCCCUUUGUACACACCGCCCGUCGCACCUACCGAUUGAGUGAUCCGGUGAAUAAUUCGGACUGCAGCACUGCUUGGUCUCCAGGCUUUGCAGCGGAAAGUUUAGUGAACCUUAUCACUUAGAGGAAGGAGAAGUCGUAACA